AAUAUUGUACAAUGGGCGACAGCCUGAUCCAGCCAUGCCGCGUGUGUGAAGAAGGUCUUCGUAUUGUACAGCACCUUCUGUUGGGAGGAAGGGCAGUAAGCUAAUACCUUGCUGUUUUGACGUUACCGACAGAAUAAGCCCCGGCUACCUUCGUGCCAGCACCCGCGGUAAUACGAAGGGUGCAAGCGUUAAUCGGAAUUACUGGGCGUAAAGCGCGCGUAGGUGGUUUGAUAAGUUGGAUGUGAAAGCCCAGGGCUCAACCUGGGAAUUGCAUCCAAAACUGUCUGACUAGAGUAUGGCAGAGGGUGGUGGAAUUUCCUGUGUAGCGGUGAAAUGCGUAGAUAUAGGAAGGAACACCAGUGGCGAAGGCGACCACCUGGGCUAAUACUGACACUGAGGUGCGAAAGCGUGGGGAGCAAACAGG
rnacentral:rRNA from 1 species